rnacentral:rRNA from 1 species
UACGUAGGGCGCAAGCGUUGUCCGGAAUUAUUGGGUGUAAAGAGCUCGUAGGCGGCUUGUCACGUCGGGUGUGAAAGCCCGGGGCUUAACCCCGGGUCUGCAUUCGAUACGGGCAGGCUAGAGUGUGGUAGGGGAGAUCGGAAUUCCUGGUGUAGCGGUGAAAUGCGCAGAUAUCAGGAGGAACACCGGUGGCGAAGGCGGAUCUCUGGGCCAUUACUGACGCUGAGGAGCGAAAGCGUGGGGAGCAAACAGG